GGCGAACGCUGGCGGCGUGCCUAAUACAUGCAAGUCGAGCGGACGAAUCGAAAGCUUGCUUUUGAUUCGUUAGCGGCGGACGGGUGAGUAACACGUGGGCAACCUGCCCUGUAGACGGGGAUAACACCGAGAAAUCGGUGCUAAUACCGGAUAACACGAAAUGUCGCAUGACGUUUCGUUGAAAGACGGCGCAAGCUGCCGCUACAGGAUGGGCCCGCGGCGCAUUAGCUAGUUGGUGAGGUAACGGCUCACCAAGGCGACGAUACGUAGCCGACCUGAGAGGGUGAUCGGCCACACUGGGACUGAGACACGGCCCAGACUCCUACGGGAGGCUGCAGUAGGGAAUCUUCCGCAAUGGACGAAAGUCUGACGGAGCAACGCCGCGUGAGCGAAGAAGGCCUUCGGGUCGUAAAGCUCUGUUGUUAGGGAAGAACAAGUAACGCAGUAACUGGCGUUACCGUGACGGUACCUAACGAGAAAGCCACGGCUAACUACGUG
rnacentral:rRNA from 1 species